GGCAAAAGUGCUAACCACCAAGCACACUGUGCACCCCAAGCAGAAGAUAUGUUAUCUAUAAAACAGGAUUGAGAAUUCACUUAAGUUUUGUAGGAUUGUGAUUUUAUUGAGACAGGCUUGAGUGAUAAUCUGACCUCUCAGCAGCACCAAAAUAUCCAAAGACAGUAGCUGAGGCACUGGAAGCACAGCAGCCAUCUUUUAUUUACAAGACAAGAGCUGUGAUGGUGGGUUUGGACUAAAGUGGAGACACAAGAUCCUUCACCUCACUCGGAGGAAGAUAUCUUCAGGCUUCAGCCUGUCAGCAUUUUGACUGGGGCUGCUUCAGGUACUGUACUCUGCUGACACUGAUGGUUUCACCGUGCACAUCCCAUGCACUCAGGCUGAAAACUCAACCUGGCAUUUUCCUGGAGCUGGAUUGGAGACAGUGGAGACGGAGCACUCUCGCACUGACAGUGUAAAUGGACUACACCAUAUCAUCAGGAGCUGCAGGUGUAAGAGAAGUAGGCUUUGAAGCUAAGCACUCACCGUCUCUCUGGUAUUAAUCACAGCAUCUCCGUCUCGCCACGGGGGAAAUCUCCACCGCAACUCUUCACUUCAUCUGGAAUUAAUGCAAGAUGUCGGAGAAGGAUGGGAGAUUCUGAGCUGCCAAGAAUGGAAAGUCAGGUCACGGAAGGAGGAUACAGAGAGAAGAAGUAAAUAAAUUCUUUACAUUAGGAAUUUAUAUCCAGGUUGUAUGGUGCUUGAGAGAACAACUGCCCAAGCAGGAUUCAACUUUAAAAAAGCACUGAUUUACACACAACGUAAUGAUGCAUUGUUUGGAAUUAAUGCUAUUUAAUACUUGUGGUUUGUAUGUCCUUCCACUGGUAGUUAUUAGACUUCUGGCAUGGACAGCAGAAAGGUGCAAAGAGGAAGGGUGGAAGCACAAGAAAUUGGUUACAUAGUGUGAAGUAAGGUUUGAAAGAGUGAAUGAAAAGAGGAUAAAUGCAGUGAAAAGGAUGACUGAGGUGGUUUAAGGUGGAACAUGAAGUUUUAUGGGUUAUAGUGUGGACCCAACUUAAUUUUUUUGUAAGGAGCCAAAUCAGUAUGCUCUCACACAGAAAUACUGAAACUUCUGCGUCUGUGCUUUCAGAAAUUAUUUAGGCUGUGGACUGACCAUCAUCACAAACAGCGAUAAGUACAAAAAGCCGAAUCUGUUUAUCUACCCGCUAAACGUGCUCAGUGGUAGCUAUUUUCUCAAUGUAAGAGAAUUGAAUGUCUCAAAUCCUUUAGCAUAUCAAAGACAAAAGAUACAUUCUGCAUUGUCAAGAUACACAAUGUAACAGUUC
ensembl:lncRNA